rnacentral:rRNA from 1 species
CCGUUAACGGACGAGACCUUAACCUGCUAAAUAGUUAGGCCAACGUUUGUUGGUCGUCAACUUCUUAGAGGGACUAUUGACUAUUAGUCAAUGGAAGUUUGAGGCAAUAACAGGUCUGUGAUGCCCUUAGAUGUUCUGGGCCGCACGCGCGCUACGCUGAUCAAGUCAACGAGUUUACAACCUUGGCCGGAAGGUCUGGGUAAUCUUUUGAAACUUGAUCGUGCUGGGGAUAGUCCAUUGCAAUUAUUGCUCUUCAACGAGGAAUGCCUAGUAAGCGCAUGUCAUCAGCAUGCGUUGAUUACGUCCCUGCCCUUUGUACACACCGCCCGUCGCUAAUACCGAUUGAAUGGAUAA